AGAAAUCCAAGAAUGUGAUCUAUGGCAAGGAAACAUAUGUGGGGUGAGGUGUAUGAGCGUCUGGUCGAUGAUCAAUGGCCACACAACCCCCAUUUUUGUCGAAAAUAGCCAUGAAUGACCAUUUUCAAUAAUACCGAAGGCUAACACCUACGGAUUUUUGACCAAGAAAUGGUCUCCACCAGAAAUCCAAGAAUGUGAUCUAUGGCAAGGAAACAUAUGUGGGGUGAGGUGUAUGAGCCUCUGUCGAUGAUCAAUGGCCACACAACCCCAUUUUUGUCGAAAAUAGCCAUGAACGACCAUUUUCAAUAACGAAGGCUAACACCUACGGAUUUUUGACCAAGAAAUGGUCUCCACCAAAAUCCAAGAAUGUGAUCUAUGGCAAGGAAACAUAUGUGGGGUGAGGUGUAUGAGCCUCUGGUCGAUGAUCAAUGGCCACACAACCCCCAUUUUUGUCGAAAAUAGCCAUGAAUGACCAUUUCAAUAAUACCGAAGGCUAACACCUACGGAUUUUUGACCAAGAAAUGGUCUCCACCAGAAAUCCAAGAAUGUGAUCUAUGGCAAGGAAACAUAUGUGGGGUGAGGUGUAUGAGCCUCUGGUCGAUGAUCAAUGGCCACACAACCCCCAUUUUUGUCGAAAAUAGCCAUGAACGACCAUUUUCAAUAAUACGAAGGCUAACACCUACGGAUUUUUGACCAAGAAAUGGUCUCCACCAGAAAUCCAAGAAUGUGAUCUAGACAAGGAAACAUAUGUGGGGUGAGGUGUAUGAGCCUCUGGUCGAGAUCAAUGGCCACACAACCCCCAUUUUGCCGAAAAUAGCCAUGAAUGACCAUUUUCAAUAAUACCGAAGGCUAACACGUACGAGUUUUUAACCAAGAAAUGGUCUCCACCAGAAAUCCAAGAAUGUAAUCUAUGGCAAGGAAACAUAUGUGGGGUGAGGUUUAUGAGCCUCUAGUCGAUGAUAAAUGGCCACACAACCCCCAUUUUUUAUGAAAAUAGCCAUGAGCGACCUUGAAAAUAGCCAUGAGCGACCAUUUUCAAUAAUACUAAAGGCUAACACCUACGGAUUUUAGACCAAGAAAUGGUCUCCACCAGAAAUCCAAGAAUGUGAUCUAUGGCAAGGAAACAUAUGUGGGGUGAGGUGUAUGAGCCUCUGGUCGAUGAUCAAUGGCCACACAACCCCCAUUUUUGUCGAAAAUAGCCAUGAACGACCAUUUUCAAUAAUACCGAAGGCUAACACCUACGGAUUUUUGACCAAGAAAUGGUCUCCACCAGAAAUCCAAGAAUGUGAUCUAUGGCAAGGAAACAUAUGUGGGGUGAGGUGUAUGAGCCUCUGGUCGACGAUCAAUGGCCACACAACCCUAAUUUUUGUCGAAAAUAGCCAUGAACGACCAUUUUCAAUGACACUGAAGGCUAACACCUACGGAUUUUUGACCAAGAAAUGGUCUCCACCAUAAAUCCAAGAAUGUGAUCUAUGGCAAGGAAACAUAUGUGUAGUGAGGUGUAUGAGCCUCUGGUCGAAGAUCAAUGGCCACACAACCCCCAUUUUUGUCGAAAAUAGCCAUGAAUGACCAUUUUCAAAAAUACCAAAGGCUAACACGUACGGAUUUUUGACCAAGAAAUGGUCUCCACCAGAAAUCCAAGAAUGUGAUCUAUGGCAAGGAAACAUAUGUGGGGUGAGGUGUACGAGCCUCUGGUCGAUGAUCAAUGGCCACACAACCCCCAUUUUGCCGAAAAUAGCCAUGAACGACCAUUUUCAAUAAUACCGAAGGCUAACACGUACGAGUUUUUAACCAAGAAAUGGUCUCCACCAGAAAUCCAAGAAUGUGAUCUAUGGCAAGGAAACAUAUGUGGGGUGAGGUUUAUGAGCCUCUAGUCGAUGAUAAAUGGCCACACAACCCCCAUUUUUUAUGAAAAUAGCCAUGAGCGACCUUGAAAAUAGCCAUGAGCGACCAUUUUCAAUAAUACUAGAGGCUAACACCUACGGAUUUUAGACCAAGAAAUGGUCUCCACCAGAAAUCCAAGAAUGUGAUCUAUGGCAAGGAAACAUAUGUGGGGUGAGGUGUAUGAGCGUCUGGUCGAUGAUCAAUGGCCACACAACCCCCAUUUUUGUCGAAAAUAGCCAUGAACGACCAUUUUCAAUAAUACCGAAGGCUAACACCUACGGAUUUUUGACCAAGAAAUGGUCUCCACCAGAAAUCCAAGAAUGUGAUCUAUGGCAAGGAAACAUAUGUGGGGUGAGGUGUAUGAGCCUCUGGUCGACGAUCAAUGGCCACACAACCCCAUUUUUGUCGAAAAUAGCCAUGAACGACCAUUUUCAAUAACUGAAGGCUAACACCUACGGAUUUUUGACCAAGAAAUGGUCUCCACCAAAAUCCAAGAAUGUGAUCUAUGACAAGGAAACAUAUGUGUAGUGAGGUGUAUGAGCCUCUGGUCGAAGAUCAAUGGCCACACAACCCCCAUUUUUGUCGAAAAUAGCCAUGAAUGACCAUUUUCAAAAUACCAAAGGCUAACACUACGGAUUUUUGACCAAGAAAUGGUCUCCACCAGAAAUCCAAGAAUGUGAUCUAUGGCAAGGAAACAUAUGUGGGGUGAGGUGUACGAGCCUCUGGUCGAUGAUCAAUGGCCACACAACCCCCAUUUUGCCGAAAAUAGCCAUGAACGACCAUUUUCAAUAAUACCGAAGGCUAACACGUACGAGUUUUUAACCAAGAAAUGGUCUCCACCAGAAAUCCAAGAAUGUGAUCUAUGGCAAGGAAACAUAUGUGGGGUGAGGUUUAUGAGCCUCUAGUCGAUGAUAAAUGGCCACACAACCCCCAUUUUUUAUGAAAAUAGCCAUGAGCGACCUUGAAAAUAGCCAUGAGCGACCAUUUUCAAUAAUACUAGAGGCUAACACCUACGGAUUUUAGACCAAGAAAUGGUCUCCACCAGAAAUCCAAGAAUGUGAUCUAUGGCAAGGAAACAUAUGUGGGGUGAGGUGUAUGAGCGUCUGGUCGAUGAUCAAUGGCCACACAACCCCCAUUUUUGUCGAAAAUAGCCAUGAACGACCAUUUUCAAUAAUACCGAAGGCUAACACCUACGGAUUUUUGACCAAGAAAUGGUCUCCACCAGAAAUCCAAGAAUGUGAUCUAUGGCAAGGAAACAUAUGUGGGGUGAGGUGUAUGAGCCUCUGGUCGAUGAUCAAUGGCCACACAACCCCAUUUUUGUCGAAAAUAGCCAUGAACGACCAUUUUCAAUAAUACGAAGGCUAACACCUACGGAUUUUUGACCAAGAAAUGGUCUCCACCAAAAUCCAAGAAUGUGAUCUAUGCAAGGAAACAUAUGUGGGUGAGGUGUAUGAGCCUCUGGUCGAAGAUCAAUGGCCACACAACCCCCAUUUUUGUCGAAAAUAGCCAUGAAUGACCAUUUUCAAAAUACCAAGGCUAACACUACGGAUUUUUGACCAAGAAAUGGUCUCCACCAGAAAUCCAAGAAUGUGAUCUAUGGCAAGGAAACAUAUGUGGGGUGAGGUGUACGAGCCUCUGGUCGAUGAUCAAUGGCCACACAACCCCCAUUUUGCCGAAAAUAGCCAUGAAUGACCAUUUUCAAUAAUACCGAAGGCUAACACGUACGAGUUUUUGACCAAGAAAUGGUCUCCACCAAAAUCCAAGAAUGUGAUCUAUGGCAAGGAAACAUAUGUGGGGUGAGGUUUAUGAGCCUCUAGUCGAUGAUAAAUGGCCACACAACCCCCAUUUUUUAUGAAAAUAGCCAUGAGCGACCAUUUUCAAUAAUAUAGAGGCUAAACCUACGGAUUUUUGACCAAGAAAUGGUCUCCACCAGAAAUCCAAGAAUGUGAUCUAUGGCAAGGAAACAUAUGUGGGGUGAGGUGUAUGAGCCUCUGGUCGAUGAUCAAUGGCCACACAACCCCAUUUUUGUCGAAAAUAGCCAUGAACGACCAUUUUCAAUAAUACCGAAGGCUAACACCUACGGAUUUUUGACCAAGAAAUGGUCUCCACCAGAAAUCCAAGAAUGUGAUCUAUGGCAAGGAAACAUAUGUGGGGUGAGGUGUAUGAGCCUCUGGUCGAUGAUCAAUGGCCACACAACCCCCAUUUUUGUCGAAAAUAGCCAUGAACGACCAUUUUCAAUAAUAUCGAAGGCUAACACCUACGGAUUUUUGACCAAGAAAUGGUCUCCACCAGAAAUCCAAGAAUGUGAUCUACGACAAGGAAACAUAUGUGGGUGAGGUGUAUGAGCCUCUGGUCGACGAUCAAUGGCCACACAACCCCCAUUUUGCCGAAAAUAGCCAUGAAUGACCAUUUUCAAUAAUACCGAAGGCUAACACGUACGAGUUUUUAACCAAGAAAUGGUUUCCACCAGAAAUCCAAGAAUGUAAUCUAUGGCAAGGAAACAUAUGUGGGGUGAGGUGUACGAGCCUCUGGUCGAUGAUCAAUGGCCACACAACCCCCAUUUUGCCGAAAAUAGCCAUGAACGACCAUUUUCAAUAAUACCGAAGGCUAACACGUACGAGUUUUUGACCAAGAAAUGGUCUCCACCAGAAAUCCAAGAAUGUGAUCUAUGGCAAGGAAACAUAUGUGGGGUGAGGUUAUGAGCCUCUAGUCGAUGAUAAAUGGCCACACAACCCCCAUUUUUUAUGAAAAUAGCCAUGAGCGACCAUUUUCAAUAAUACUAGAGGCUAACACCUACGGAUUUUUUACCAAGAAAUGGUCUCCACCAGAAAUCCAAGAAUGUGAUCUAUGGCAAGGAAACAUAUGUGGGGUGAGGUGUAUGAGCCUCUGGUCGAUGAUCAAUGGCCACACAACCCCCAUUUUU
rnacentral:lncRNA from 1 species